CAGCCGCAACAGCCCGCUGGCUCGCACGGGGUGCUCUUCAUCGAGUGUCCCGCGUGGCCGGCAGAGUUUACUUUGAAAAAAUUAGAGUGCUCAAAGCAGGCUACACUGACAGCCUGAAUGCCUAUGCAUGGAAUAAUGGAAUAGGACCUCGGUUCUAUUUUGUCGGUUUUCUGAACCCGAGGUAAUGACUAAUAGGAACAGGCGGGGGCAUUCGUAUUGCGACGCUAGAGGUGAAAUUCUUGGACCGUCGCAAGACGAACUACUGCGAAAGCAUUUGCCAAGGAUGUUUUCAUUAAUCAAGAACGAAAGUUAGAGGUUCGAAGGCGAUCAGAUACCGCCCUAGUUCUAACCAUAAACGAUGCUGACCAGCGAUCCGCCGGCGUUAUUCCCAUGACCCGGCGGGCAGCUUCCGGGAAACCAAAGUCUUUGGGUUCCGGGGGAAGUAUGGUUGCAAAGCUGAAACUUAAAGGAAUUGACGGAAGGGCACCACCAGGAGUGGAGCCUGCGGCUUAAUUUGACUCAACACGGGGAACCUCACCAGGCCCAGACACCGGAAGGAUUGACAGAUUGAGAGCUCUUUCUCNAUUCNGUGGGUGGUGGUGCAUGGCC
rnacentral:rRNA from 1 species